rnacentral:rRNA from 1 species
CCAGCAGCCGCGGUAAUUCCAGCUCUAAUAGCAUAUAUUAAAGUUGUUGCAGUUAAAAAGCUCGUAGUCGGAUUUUGGGCGCGUGUGAACUGUCAGCCUCUGGUUGGACGGUGCGCGCGUGCCUUUCUGCUUGGGAGCCCCAUGGUGGUUAAUUCUGCCGUGGUGGGUCACAGGCCGUUUACUUUGAAAAAAUUAGAGUGUUCAAAGCAGGCUGUUGCUUGAAUAGAUUAGCAUGGAAUAAUGGAAUAGGACCUUGGUGCUAUUUCGUUGGUUAUGGGACUGGGGUAAUGAUUAAUAGGGACAGUUGGGGCCGUUCAUAUUUCGUUGUCAGAGGUGAAAUUCUUGGAUUUACGAACGAUGAACUUGUGCGAAAGCAUUCGGCAAGGAUGUUUUCAUUGAUCAAGAACGAAAGU